GAUGAACGCUGGCGGCGUGCCUAAUACAUGCAAGUCGAGCGAACUGAUUAGAAGCUUGCUUCUAUGACGUUAGCGGCGGACGGGUGAGUAACACGUGGGCAACCUGCCUGUAAGACUGGGAUAACUUCGGGAAACCGAAGCUAAUACCGGAUAGGAUCUUCUCCUUCAUGGGAGAUGAUUGAAAGAUGGUUUCGGCUAUCACUUACAGAUGGGCCCGCGGUGCAUUAGCUAGUUGGUGAGGUAACGGCUCACUAAGGCAACGAUGCAUAGCCGACCUGAGAGGGUGAUCGGCCACACUGGGACUGAGACACGGCCCAGACUCCUACGGGAGGCAGCAGUAGGGAAUCUUCUGCAAUGGACGAAAGUCUGACGGAGCAACGCCGCGUGAGUGAUGAAGGCUUUCGGGUCGUAAAACUCUGUUGUUAGGGAAGAACAAGUACAAGAGUAACUGCUUGUACCUUGACGGUACCUAACCAGAAAGCCACGGCUAACUACGUGCCAGCCGCCGCCGUAAGAC
rnacentral:rRNA from 1 species